CAUUAAAUUAUAUACUUAAAACGGAUCCAUUUUAUGGUAGAUAAAUGAUACCUCAAUAAAACCAUUAAUCAAAUAUUAAUUGCAAAUAGAACUGAGAGUGGAGAAAUCAUUUCUGGUUUUGGACAUUAGGAAAGGCUUCCUGGAGGAGGUGGCAUACAUGAUGGACUUGAUAAGUUUAUUUUUAGAUAAGAACAUUUUAAACAUUCCAACAGUAAGAGACUAUUGAAAAUAAAUGAAAUUCAUUGAAUAGAAGUAAUUAAAAUAAUAAUGUAACUCUUUAAGCAUUGCAAUGGAACCAUCCAGGAAAACUUGACUUCUCAAAUGAACUAAAUAAGCCACCAUGGACCAAUCCUGGAGAAACAGAGAUAUGUGACCUUUCAGAGAGAGAAUUCAA
rnacentral:lncRNA from 1 species